GUCGCUGUAAUCCCUUAGGACCCGCUCGAUAGCCCCCGCUUCGCCGGCCCGGACGAUGUAGAGGGCGCGCUCCUCAUCCAUGGCCGCAGGUGCGGGGGAGCCGCGGCCGCUCUGCGCUCCCAAGCCGCUGCCUCCAGGAUGUUGAAAGAGUUAAAAGAGAUGGCUGUCGAAGUAGCUGGCACAGGAGACCUGGCAAGGAGUGACCACUCAAGUGUUAACUGAACUGGAUUGAAAAACUGAACAUUCCUCACAAGGAAUGCUGUGAAGAUUCAGGACUCAAGGCUGUUAUUCCUAUGGGAGCCCAAAUGCAUGAAUUUUCAGUUGUUGGUGUUGUGGCUGCGGUUGUUUUUAACAACAACAACAAAAAAAAAAAAAACCAAAAAGUAAUUCCAACUGUUUUGGUAUUUAAGCCUUUGAAAUAACAUCUUUAAACUGAUAUGGUAUAAAAUUUUGA